rnacentral:rRNA from 1 species
AUACAUGCAAGUCGAACGGUCAGUAGCAAUACUGAUAGUGGCGCACGGGUGCGUAACGCGUAACCAACCUACCCGAAUCUGGGGGAUAGCCCGCCGAAAGGCGGAUUAAUACCGCAUAAAACAACAGUCCGGCAUCGGGCAAUUGUUAAAGAUUUAUUGGAUUCAGAUGGGGUUGCGUGCCAUUAGCUAGUUGGAGAGGUAACGGCUCACCAAGGCGACGAUGGCUAGGGGAGCUGAGAGGCUGGUCCCCCACACGGGCACUGAGAUACGGGCCCGACUCCUACGGGAGGCAGCAGUAGGGAAUAUUGGGCAAUGGGCGAGAGCCUGGCCCAGCCAUGCCGCGUGCAGGAUGAAGGCUUUCUGAGUCGUAAACUGCUUUUGCCAGGGAAGAAAAAAGGGGAUGCGUCCUCUACUGACGGUACCUGGUGAAUAAGCACCGGCUAACUCCGUGCCAGCAGCCGCGGUAAUACGGAGGGUGCAAGCGUUGUCCGGAUUUAUUGGGUUUAAAGGGUGCGUAGGCGGCCGUUUAAGUCUGGGGUGAAAGCCCGUUGCUCAACAACGGAACUGCCCUGGAAACUGGAUGGCUUGAGUACAGACGAGGGUGGCGGAAUGGAGGGUGUAGCGGUGAAAUGCAUAGAUACCCUCCAGAACCCCGAUUGCGAAGGCAGCUGCCUAGACUGUAACUGACGCUGAGGCACGAAAGCGUGGGGAGCGAACAGGAUUAGAUACCCUGGUAGUCCACACCGUAAACGAUGGAUACUCGCUGCCGGCGAUACAAUGUCGGUGGCUUAGCGAAAGCGUUAAGUAUCCCACCUGGGGAGUACGCUCGCAAGAGUGAAACUCAAAAGAAUUGACGGGGGCCC